rnacentral:rRNA from 1 species
AGAGUUUGAUCCUGGCUUAGAACGAACGCUGGCGGCGUGGAUAAGACAUGCAAGUCGAGCGCUGAUUUCGGGUAGCAAUAUUCCCGAGUCGGAGCGGCGCAAGGGUGCGUAACACGUGGGUAAUCUGCCAUGAAGUUCGGGAUAACUUGCUGAAAGGCGAGCUAAUACCGGAUGUGAUAACUGAAAGGCAUCUUUUGGUUAUUAAAGUUGGGGACCGUAAGGCCUGACGCUUCUUGAUGAACCCGCGGCCUAUCAGCUAGUUGGUGAGGUAACGGCUCACCAAGGCUAAGACGGGUAGCUGGUCUGAGAGGACGACCAGCCACACUGGAUCUGAGACACGGUCCAGACACCUACGGGUGGCAGCAGUCGAGAAUUUUUCACAAUGGGCGAAAGCCUGAUGGAGCGACGCCGCGUGGGGGAUGAAUGGCUUCGGCCUGUAAACCCCUGUCAUUCGCGAUCAAACCUUAUUAUUUAAAAGAUGAUGAGCUGAUAGUAGCGGAAGAGGAAGGGACGGCUAACUCUGUGCCAGCAGCCGCGGUAAUACAGAGGUCCCAAGCGUUGUUCGGAUUCACUGGGCGUAAAG